GACGAACGCUGGCGGCGUGCUUAACACAUGCAAGUCGAACGGAAAGGCCCUGCUUUUGCGGGGUGCUCGAGUGGCGAACGGGUGAGUAACACGUGAGUAACCUGCCCUUGACUUUGGGAUAACUUCAGGAAACUGGGGCUAAUACCGGAUAGGAGCUCCUGCUGCAUGGUGGGGGUUGGAAAGUUUCGGCGGUUGGGGAUGGACUCGCGGCUUAUCAGCUUGUUGGUGGGGUAGUGGCUUACCAAGGCUUCGACGGGUAGCCGGCCUGAGAGGGGGGACGGCGACCAUGGGACUGAGGUAGGGAGCAGAAGGGAACGGGCGGCAGCAGGGGGGAGUAUGACACAGUGGGGGGAAGCCUGAUGCGGCGGCGCCGCGUGCGGAAUAACGGCCUUCGGGUUGUAAACCGCUUUCGCAUGUGACGAAGCGUGAGUGACGGUAAUGGGUAAAGAAGCACCGGCUAACUACGUG
rnacentral:rRNA from 1 species